rnacentral:rRNA from 1 species
CACGUAGGGACCAAGCGUUGUCCGGAUUUAUUGGGCGUAAAGAGCUCGUAGGCGGUUCGAUAAGUCGGGUGUGAAACCUCCAGGCUCAACCUGGAGACGCCACCCGAUACUGUCGUGACUAGAGUCCAGUAGGGGAGCGUGGAAUUCCUGGUGUAGCGGUGAAAUGCGCAGAUAUCAGGAGGAACACCAGUGGCGAAGGCGGCGCUCUGGGCUGGAACUGACGCUGAGGAGCGAAAGCGUGGGGAGCGAACAGG